UUCAAUCUAUUGUUUUUGUUUUCCAUAUCAACUGCUCCCACAUACAUAUAGAGCUAAUAUUUGGUAUUUUUACGCUUGCUAAGCUUUGUACCUCAAAUGUCGAUUACUUGGAGACAUUUUUUAACUGAGCAUUUUCUUGACAUCUUUUCUUCUGAAUCAAUAACCCUAAAUACGGGCAGCAGUAAGAAGGAAUGUUGCCCGAUUGGAAGUAGCUGCUAACCAUUUAGUGUUGUCAAACCAACUUUUAGUGCUGAAACUGAUUUCAUAUGAACAUUUGGAUAUAAGUCUUGUAAUUGAUAAUGAACAGUUGAUGUGUUUGGUUAAAAAUUGCUAAUCAAUACUUCUUUUUUUGACAUAAUCACUGAUAUGUCCUUAAGGAUUAAAAAUGAGCAAAUUCACCGGGAUAUAUUGAAGAUAAAAUGCAAGAAGUUCGCUUGAGAAGGUUUGGACAUGUUUUGUGUUGAACCUACAGAUGAACUGGUUCACUAGUGUGAAUCUAUGACACUGAAGGCAUUAAAAGAGGACGGGUAGAGGUAGAUAACAUGGAAGAAAGUUGUAUCAAAAGAUCUACAAAUUCGUGAUAUAAUGCUUCAGUUAUUUCUAUCUCAACCAUCUUGGAAGGAAAAUGCAACUGACGAAUCAGUUGAGAUGGGAAAAGCUCUUCUGAACGAGCUAGAAUCAGUCAUCUGGUCACUGAUGUUGGUGGAAGGGCGAUCUGAGUGUCGGCUUUGGCUUUGUAAUGCAGUCGCUGAGAUGAGGUCUAUAACACCACGCAAUCAACGCGAGUUAUUCAUGACUUUAUUGAGGUCUAAGCCUCUAAAACAACCCUUAAUUGGACAACUUCUACAAUUGCUUUUCCAGAAGGAACCUCAGAAAGCAGGGCUUAUCAUUGCAAAGAAAUGUUUUUUAUUAGAAAAUUUCUUCAAAGGAAACAGAAAUCGUAUUUUGCAGUGGUUCUCUUAUUUUGCUGGUACUGGUUAUGUGGACCAUACAAAGGGGGCUAAGGCACUGUCCCAGUUUGCUUUUGUGAAUAGAGACAUCUGUUGGGAGGAGCUCGAGUGGAAGGGGAAACAUGGGCAAUCACCUGCAAUGGUUGCCACUAAGCCUCACUAUUUUCUUGAUCUGGAUGUCGAACGAACAGUGGAAAAUUUUCUUGAGUAUGUUCCUGAAUUUUGGUCAUCUAAGGAAUUUGCCGAGUCACUAAGAGAUGGUGAUAUUCUGACCAUUGAUAAUAAUUUUUUUAUCAAUAUGUUUGUUGACUUGAUGUACAAGGAUAAUUUGAAAGAAGUAUGGGAAAUUAUAGAUGAGUUUCUGAAUGAGCAAUCUUUCUCUUUCUUAUGUCAACACCUUCUCAUCAUUCUGGAGGAAGAAGAUCUAAUGGUUUUCUUGGACUUACUCCAAAGUUAUGUUAAACCAAGCUUGCAAAAGAUGGAUUGCCAUGAUUCUCUUGAUCAAUUGCUUGAGAUCAUCCUCUCCAAGUGUAAUGGCAAUAAUUCUCUUGAUCAGUUGCUUCUCUUGAAUGCGGUUGCUACUCAAAGUCGGCAGCUUAUGCGAUUUAUACGUGAAGAAGGUAGUCAGGAGCAAAAGGAGAAGGUUAAGCAUGUUAUUUUCCAAAUUUGUAAACCAACAAGCCCUAAAGAUAGAUUUACACCAAUUCUGAGGGAAUGCUUCAGAAGAAAAUCUUCUGAGAGUAUCAAAUGGCUGGGACUGCAGUCUUGGGCCUUUUACUGUUACUUAUCUGAGGAUUACAGAAAUUCCAGUUCCUGGGAAAAUUUAUUUGCUUGCAACAACAUAAGCUUCCGCAAAUCAAAGACUUAUCCAAUAUUAGAUCAUGAUCAGCUUCAGGAAGAAAGUGAGUUUGAGCAGGACAAUAGGUCAGCCAGAAAUAAGCGCAAGAAAAGGCAAAAACACAGAAAGAAAAAGAGAAGGGAUAUUGACUUUGAGGAAUUAAAUGGGGAUGAAUUUGCCGAUGUAAUUACAAAUAGACUGGAGUUGUAUUCGACAUCUGGUGACUGGUUGCUUUCUACCGAUGGGUAUUCUAGCACUUGGAGCAGCGCGGACCUACCUGAGCAUAUAUCGAAACAUUGCUUCUUCACGUGGAUGAAGUGGGUUUUUACUGAAUGAAUAGAUGAUUAUUCACUCUUCGCAUGGAGUUGUUAUGAAACGACAUAAUGAUUAUGGUCAUGUGUUUUCUGCAUGCACCUUCUGAUUGAAGAAUUUGAAGGUGGAUUGGACAAGUAGCACAAGUGCCGGUUCUUGAUUUAUCACUCUGGUUCUAUGUAGAGGAAGAAUCUAUUAAAAUGGUUCUGUUCUACGUAAUUGCAACUUUGUAUUUCCUUACCUUGGAGUCCUGCCUUGUGAGUCAAGUAUCUGCCAAGUAGUGAUUGUGAAGGUAACGCUGAGUAUGUGGACAUUGCAGGUUUAAGUUCAGGUUCUUCCUUGGCUGCUUAUGUGCUUCAGGCUCAGCCUAAUUUCCCUUUCUUCCUACCAUGUCUCCAAUGGGCAGAGUUCCUUUAUUACAAUUUGCCAGUGCCCAGGAAAUCCGGAAGUUUCUUUUGCAUCUAGUUUAGGUAACAAUUAAAAGCUUACAACUACAUCUUCUGCAGGGCCUUAUGAACUUGAAAACAAGAAUAUAAUUAAAUUGGCCAGCUUUGACUCCUUUAGAUUGUAUUCUGGCUGCACUCAAUUCACCUCUAGAUUCUUCGCUUUCUAUUGAUCUUGAUUAAUUAGUUCAAAUUUAGUUUUUUUUUCUUGGUGUGUUUUUAGAGUUAUCUUGCUGGACCGAGCAACAUGCUCUUAGUAAGUUUCUUCAGUGUUGGUGGAA